UUGGCUAUUAAAGAUGAUAAAUAGUUAAGAUCCAGUUAAAAGUCACACAUCAUUUGCAUGUGUAGUUUUCUGUAUUUUAAGAUUCAUCAACCAAAAUUUAUCAGUGCAAGGAAAAUCUGGAAACUUCAAACGGCCACUGAGCAACCUCUCUUGCACAGUCUGAACCCUUCCUUAGCUUUAUGCAGAGCCCACAGCCAUCAGCAAAUCCGGAUUUCACAAAAAAAGAAGAUGAUGUCUGAUUCUCAAAGAGGUUGUCUGGGGGUUGGGUGCAUCCAUCACUGCCCCUCUGCAGCCCGGGCUGGAUGGGGAUGGCCCAGGACAGUGCUGGCAAUGGCGCCAUGCGUGCCACCACAGUGAGAGCUUCCAGUGGGUUUGGCUGAGCCCCUGGAAGAGCCCGUGUGUCAGCGAGGAGUGCGGGGCCAUGGGGCUCUGCUGGGUACUUGCACUGGGACGCAGUGGGGUCAGUAGUGGAUGCUCCCAGGACUGUGGUGUGGAUCAAGGUCUGGAUGACCCAAGGGCCCCAGCGCUCCAGCAGGGCUCUGGGGGCUGCUGAGGAGCCUGGUGGCAGCUCCACAGUGGACCUGGCGCUGUGGGCAGGGCAGUGGAGCGAGUCACUUCCACUUAGGGGCCUCACUCAGGGGCCUCCCCGGCACCCUCACGCUGGGCAGCCCUGAGGGACGCCGCGGCCCAUGGGGACAGCAGCGGCUGCGGGCUCUGGACCCUCCUCAGAAGGCGUCGGUGCCGGCCGGGGGCUGCUGCUGCCUUGGGAUUUCUUCACUGCGAUGUCCACCCAUCUAGUGCCUGGGAUAUCGAUCUUCUUCCCAUGGGGAGGGGGACAAGUCAAAACUCCUCAAUUUAAAGAUCGGAAAGAGAAAUCGACGACUCACUGAAACUUCAUAAAGAAACAUAAAUAGCAGAAGAAAAGCAUAGGCUAAAAAAGAUGAAAGAGCACCGGUUAGAAUCGGCAUGAGACCACUUCGGACCACUUCUUUUGCCACUUUUCUAAAGUUUACCUGAAAAGACCACUUUGUCCCUUGAAAAGUCCGUGCUGACCUGUUUGUUGCAGUUUACGGGCAUACAACUUUUUUACCACUUAAAAACUGAUUUUAAAAUCCAUUUUCAAGGUUUAAGUUGAUUACUACUCAACUCAGUGUCACAGACCGGAAAACUCCCAUAUAGUUGUUCACCCCAAAGAGGUCUUUUAAUUUCUUUUUUUCCUUUUUCUUUUUCUUUUUUAAACUCCACAACUUAAAUAAAGGGUUUUUUUUGGUUUUUCUUUGGAUGUGUUGUGCUUUUCUGAGAAAGUGGACUUUGAAUUACUUUAGCACAGCGUCCUGGAAUUUUUAAGAACUCCUAAAAAACUCCUGAAAGUUUCUAGAUCCUAGGACAAAUUGUAUUUUCUGAGGAGCAGAAGCAAAUGAGCACUUUGCAGGCAGAGAAGUGUUUGCUCAUAUGGGACUCUUCUGUUCUGUCUAA